rnacentral:tRNA from 1 species
UCCCUCGAGCCGGAUUUGAACCAGCGACCUAAGGAUCACCGUUGUAACAUCUACAGUCCUCCGCUCUACCAACUGAGCUAUCGAGGG